UAAGACGAAGGUGGCUAGCGUUGUUCGGAAUCACUGGGCUUAAAGAGCACGUAGGCGGCUUACCAAGUGUCGUGUGAAAUCCCUCGGCUCAACCGAGGAAUUGCAUGGCAAACUGGUAGGCUUGAGGCAGGUAGGGGCGCAUGGAACUCUUGGUGGAGCGGUGGAAUGCGUAGAUAUCAAGAGGAACGCCGGCGGCGAAAGCGAUGCGCUGGACCUGUCCUGACGCUGAGGUGCGAAAGCCAGGGGAGCGAACGGGAUUAGAUACCCCGGUAGUCCUGGCCCUAAACGAUGUCCACUAGGUCGAUGGCUUUCUGACAAGGUAUCGGCCGAAACAAAAGCGUUAAGUGGACCGCCUGGGGAGUACGGUCGCAAGGCUA
rnacentral:rRNA from 1 species